UUCAGGUUUUACUAAUAGGUGUCGCUUCUUGUGGAUUUACCGGCGUUCGACUUUUGAAUAAGGUUAACAACAACCGACUUACCCUUUGUCUGAUAGUUGCUUCACGACGUUGAUAUUGCACGCGCCAUUUUCGCCGGAGUUUGAAACAGAGCUCGAGCUGUACGUUUCACGUUUAUUUUAACUAAUUGUAGAAAAAUGAGUCACGCAAGUAACGCUACUGACGCUGUCGACAAAGAAAAGGCUGCUGGAGAUAAAUCUGAAUCAUUAAAAAGACCUUCUUCUGAGUUGAAUGAUAUUGGAAAAGAAGAUUCCAAACAAAAAUUACAGAAAACAGACAAAGGUAUUAAUCUGAAG